CAAAAUUAGAGCUUUUUGAUAAAUCACACCAACCCUAUGUUUAUAGAAGGAAAAGAUGAAGCCUUCAAAGAAGAGAACACCAUGCCUACUGAGAAACAUAGAGGAGGCUCAGUGAUGUUUUGGGGUUGCUUUGCUGCCUCAGGCAUCGGGUGCCUUGAAUCUGUGCAGGGCACUAUGAAAUCAGAAGACUAUUAAGGCAUUUUGGAGCGAAACAUACAGCUUGGUGUCAGAAAACUGUGUCUUAGUUGCAGGUCAUGGUCUUCCAGCAGUAUAAUGACCCCAAACAGUGAGGAGUGAGAGUGGAAGAGAAGAAAAUGUUGGACCGUUCUGAAGUGGCCUGCUAUUAGGCCUGAUCUGAAUCCCAUUGAACAUCCAUGGAAGGGCCGAACUACCAGUGGAUCCAGUAAAGGGGAAGUACAAAGAUUCUGAGGCUGGACUGCACCAGGAGAGGAAAGCCUUCUGUACUGGCUGAAGGACACUGAACCACUACUGGUAUAGCUGUUGAGUGGCCAACAAAGUGGAGGAAUUUAUCAUAUGUAGAAUGAUGAAAAACUUUUGUACAAACAAUAAUUACAGUUUAAUAACAGGAUCUGUAUACCAGAUGUAAUUAGUUGCUCUUGGGUCUGUAACAUGUGGUUGCUUUGUAUCAUCCUCGGUGUCUUCUGAUCACUGAACGUUGUCCUUUUACUGCACAAAUGGUGUCUCUAUAAGGGGACAUUGUCCUCCUACUGAAAUACUCACAGAAAGUCACGUUGCAGUAUGUUGAUGAACACUUUCCAUUAUUCCAGCUGUGUUGGGGGUGUUAACCACAUCUUGGACAGUUUUUUGAUUGUUGGCUUGCUAGCCUGUGGCUGAUAUGUUUGGGUCUUUCUGGAUUGUGUAUUUUCUUAUCUGAGCUGGGAUAUUUUUAGGCAUAGGUGAGCUAAGUGGUCGCCUAUUUGGAGACCCCGCGAUUCAUUUGCUGUCACCACCGUGUAAGAAUCACACAUGAGUAACCGAGGUACUCCUGUUCCAUGCAAACAUCAUAAUAUGAUCCACAGCAUAAUCAUUCAUAACCAGGAUAUAAAUGAUACUAUAUGUGCAUUAUGGCUAUGAAUAUAAAACCUGUCUAUGUGAAAUACUUCACUCCUGGAGUUUUCCAGAGAGCAGCUUUAGUGACUUCAAUGACAACCCAGAGUUGCCAACUCACUAACAUUAAAUUGGUUAUAAUUGGUUA